UAACAAGAAGACAAUUUUAUUUCUUAACGUGUUUUAACCUUGGAAAACCUGUGCUCGUCUGAAGUUGAUUGAUGAAGGUUUCGAUUUAUAUCUCAAGAAUUUGACACAGGCAGUAGUUUGCCAUUCAGACAGAGAUAAUAGUUUGUUAAUAUUUUCCACAUGUGUUCUCUGGUUAACCUGAGGCGACAAAUUAAGGCUUUUGGAAGAGUAUCUGAUCUAAGAUAGGUGGAAAAUGUUAGUGAUCAUUGUUUAUGCAAAAGUUGUAGUUCAUAAUGCUACUCAGAGCUUCUCUACAUCGGAUCUCACGGACGCCCAAUUCACUCAGUUCAAUUGUUUCCAAUUAUUCAUAAUAAUAACACGCACCUUGACGACAUGCACCAACCCAGAAAAUUCAGCACAAGAACUGAGAAGGGUUGGAGACUACCAACAGAAACUGUGCGAAAGAUAUUUUGUAAGAAACGUCUCAAUAAAUCAGCUUACAAGUUAAAGUCCUUCACACAGUUCAUUUAGCUGCAAAUAAUUUUAAAAUGGUCGUAAGUAGUGGCCUCUGAAACCACCAUAGAUUUACAGGCCAUUCGUCGCAUGGUCAAAAGCAACUGCACACAUUUUCUCAACGUAUUUUUUUGAGAAUAGUGAACAAUCGUAUUAAAGUUUCAACUUUUAACCUUUCGUAUUUGCAAAACUACAAACGUUGACAUAAGUAUGAUUAAGAACUUUCUUUUCGUAGUGAAACACACCUUGUAGCUAUUGUACAAAUUACAAAUCCAGUAGACAUGUUUUAAUUAAAAUAUUUUUAGCAAACUUGUCGUAAACGCUAUUUAAUU